GUGUGAUACUAGUGUAAGUCGCUCUGGAUAAGAGCGUCUGCUAAAUGACUAUAA
rfam:Salmo salar isolate Sally breed double haploid chromosome ssa29, whole genome shotgun sequence.